rnacentral:lncRNA from 1 species
UCUUCUCGGUUUUAGAAGGAAACAAAUCAACUGUCUCUAUAGAUAAGUGGGGGCAUCUUCUUGGAUUUAGCUUUUUCCAUGGAUUCCCAAUGACACCCAAAUUUUACAAGGUAUGUUUUAACGUCUUCCUGCAUUCUGGGUCUUUUUGCUUUUCUUGUUUCAAUCUUCCUUUCUCUCCUUGUUUUAUUUUGCUAACAUAGGCAAAACCUUAUCAAGCUUGUAUAUUUCUGAUAUUUUAUUAUUGUUUUGAACAGGACCACAACCCACUGUUAAGGAAAAGAUUAAUGCGGCCUGAUGGUACUUGAAUGUUUCUAACUUGCUAAAUGCUUGUUUAAUUAACUAUGUCAAUGGUGCUUCUAGUUUUGAGAUGCUUUCUUUUGUUUUUGCCCCCUUGAUCUACUCAUCGUCUAGGUAGUCAUGUUUUGGUUGUGUAAUAUUAAUUAAUUGUUUUAUAUAAAUUUUGAUGUCAGUUGUUAAAUCUCCAUUAAUGAAAGUCUUAGCACAGUUGGUAAGAGAGGAGGUUUGAGUUUUAAGUAUCUAGAUUCAAAAUUCAGUAUAUAGGGUAUCUGAAUCCCACUAUGAGUUGCAAGUUUUAGUUCAAUUACUCAGUUGUAAUUUAGAUUAUUCCAGUUUUUAGUUUGUUUGUGCUGCACUGUAAAAAUUUGAUUCUAAACUUUGUGAUUAUUAAGACAUAUUUGUAUUGGUAUCGUUGUGAUUUUAAAAAAAUUGGUUAAAUCUAAUACGGUAUACUUGUGUGUCAGUGAGGCUUAGAUUUAAACAUGAUUCUUCAAAUGUUGGUUUCAUGGUAUUGUUUCUUGAUGUGCCCAUUCUUUAUGCUAUGGCAUUUAAAGAGAUACUAUUCUUCUUCCCUCAAUAAUUUGCUGUUUAUUCACUAACUGCAUGCAAACCUAGUUUAAGAAGCAGCUAUUUGGAUGAAGUGACACCAUGUGUUUUAUGAUAUAAAUAGCAUCAUGCAUCAUGGGAUACAACUUGUAAGACAUUAGUAUCAUCUGAAUUUCACAUAUUAACAUAAGCAUAACUGGGCAGAUAUGGAAAAAAGUUCUGAUUCAACUUUCUAUUAGUAUAAGAUCUAAAGGGAUACUUGAAGAAGCUACAAAGCAACUCUAACAUCAAAUUAAUUUUACUGGAAAUCAUAUGUAUAUAUAUUUUACUUUUUGUAUACUCGUGUAAAAAUAGAUUUAAUUAUUUUAUUUAUUUCAAUAAAAUUAAGUAAAUGUGUUUAUUGGGAAUAGAAUUUCAUUUUUCUUUUUUACUAUGUAAUGAUUAGGAAUGUGGGAUAUAUAUAUGAAUAGAUUCAAAGUUUGUACACAGUUUAAUAACAAAAAGUUACUUUUAACAUUAACAUAACAUACUUUAAAAAAUUACCCAAGUUACCUCAAAAUCAACCCUGAAUUGAAAUAAAAAUACCAAAUUCAAAAUAUUUAAACAUAUAAAUAUAUAUGAUUAUCAAUGUUUGAUGAAAAUAUAUUAUCAGAUCUGUUUGUUUUUAGCCUAUUGUCUGUAAUGUCUGUCAAUGAGUUUCUUCUUAUAAACUUCUUUUGAUUCUUAGGCUCAGAUGUGAACGACUAAAACAUUUGCUUCCCCCAUUUUCUUUUCCUAUUAUAUAUAUAUUUUUUUAACACUUAACUUAGGUUGGAAACUUCUCUUAUCACAUUACUUGUUAAGGCUAGAGGCCAAAGUUUACUUCUUGCUAAUAUCAACAAUCUUUUACAACAAGAUUUUGAUGUGCUGCAACAAUCUGUUGACCAAUAUUUUCAUGAUUAGCUUUUGCAAACACUGCAGCUUGUAAACUUUUACUUAUGUCUAAAUAUGGAUGUCAUUUCUAUCCCUUUUUCUAUAUCUAUGAAAACUGACACGAAGUUUAUUUUGACGGAUUAUAAAUAUAUGUAAUGUAAAAACAUUUGCAACAACUGCUGCAUAUUUUUGGGCUGAGAAGUUUAUUUUGACUGAAUUAUAUCGCAAAACUGACAUGAAGUUUUACUAAGGAUUACUCACAUUAUGCCUUAUAUCAAUUUUCAAUUUAGAUGGUUGUAGUUUGAAGAUGAUCUAUUUUGGUACAAAUCAGUUGGAUUUUGUUGACAUUUAAUUUUUAAACUUUUUCAGGGUCAUUCUUCUGUAUCUGUUUCUGAGACGUAAGUAAGUUUUAUUAUUAAUUAAUUUUACAUUUAUGUUCUGUGUAUUGAAUCUAAUUUGAUAAAUCAAUGCAUCCAGGGAGCAAUUGAAAAAAUGAUCAGC